GAUGAACGCUGGCGGCGUGCCUAAUACAUGCAAGUCGAGCGAACGGACGAGAAGCUUGCUUCUCUGAUAUUAGCGGCGGACGGGUGAGUAACACGUGGAUAACCUACCUAUAAGACUUGGAUAACUUCGGGAAACCGGAGCUACUACCGGAUAAUAUUUUGAACCGCAUGGUUCAAAAGUGAAAGACGGUCUUGCUGUCACUUAUAGAUGGAUCCGCGCUGCAUUAGCUAGUUGGUAAGGUAACGGCUUACCAAGGCAACGAUGCAUAGCCGACCUGAGAGGGUGAUCGGCCACACUGGAACUGAGACACGGUCCAGACUCCUACGGGAGGCAGCAGUAGGGAAUCUUCCGCAAUGGGCGAAAGCCUGACGGAGCAACGCCGCGUGAGUGAUGAAGGUCUUCGGAUCGUAAAACUCUGUUAUUAGGGAAGAACAUAUGUGUAAGUAACUGUGCACAUCUUGACGGUACCUAAUCAGAAAGCCACGGCUAACUACGUG
rnacentral:rRNA from 1 species